rnacentral:rRNA from 1 species
GAUGAACGCUGGCGGCGUGCCUAACACAUGCAAGUCGAGCGAAGCGAUUUAGCGGAAGUUUUCGGAUGGAAGUUAAAUUGACUGAGCGGCGGACGGGUGAGUAACGCGUGGGUAACCUGCCUCGAUACAGGGGGAUAACAGUUAGAAACAGCUGCUAAUACCGCAUGAUGCAACGGAAUCGACAUGACUCUGUUGCCAAAGAUUUAUCGCUCUGAGAUGGCCUCGCGUCUGAUUAGCUAGUUGGCGGGGUAACGGCCCACCAAGGCGACGAUCAGUAGCCGGACUGAGAGGUUGGCCGGCCACAUUGGGACUGAGACACGGCCCAG